rnacentral:rRNA from 1 species
GGAAUCUUGAGAGCGGCGCACGGGUGCGGAACACGUGUGCAACCUGCCUUUAUCUGGGGGAUAGCCUUUCGAAAGGAAGAUUAAUACCCCAUAAUAUAUUGAGUGGCAUCACUUGAUAUUGAAAACUCCGGUGGAUAGAGAUGGGCACGCGCAAGAUUAGAUAGUUGGUGAGGUAACGGCUCACCAAGUCAAUGAUCUUUAGGGGGCCUGAGAGGGUGAUCCCCCACACUGGUACUGAGACACGGACCAGACUCCUACGGGAGGCAGCAGUGAGGAAUAUUGGACAAUGGGUGAGAGCCUGAUCCAGCCAUCCCGCGUGAAGGACGACUGCCCUAUGGGUUGUAAACUUCUUUUAUACUGGGAUAAACCUACCCUUCGUGAGGGUAGCUGAAGGUACAGUAUGAAUAAGCACCGGCUAACUCCGUGCCAGCAGCCGCGGUAAUACGGAGGGUGCAAGCGUUAUCCGGAUUUAUUGGGUUUAAAGGGUCCGUAGGCGGACUCGUAAGUCAGUGGUGAAAUCUCAUAGCUUAACUAUGAAACUGCCAUUGAUACUGCGGGUCUUGAGUAAAGUAGAAGUGGCUGGAAUAAGUAGUGUAGCGGUGAAAUGCAUAGAUAUUACUUAGAACACCAAUUGCGAAGGCAGGUCACUAUGUUUUAACUGACGCUGAUGGACGAAAGCGUGGGGAGCGAACAGGAUUAGAUACCCUGGUAGUCCACGCCGUAAACGAUGCUAACUCGUUUUUGGGUUUUCGGAUUCAGAGACUAAGCGAAAGUGAUAAGUUAGCCACCUGGGGAGUACGUUCGCAAGAAUGAAACUCAAAGGAAUUGACGGGGGCCCGCACAAGCGGUGGAUUAUGUGGUUUAAUUCGAUGAUACGCGAGGAACCUUACCAAGGCUUAAAUGGGAAUUGACAGGUUUAGAAAUAGAUCCUUCUUCGGACAAUUUUCAAGGUGCUGCAUGGUUGUCGUCAGCUCGUGCCGUGAGGUGUUAGGUUAAGUCCUGCAACGAGCGCAACCCCUGUCACUAGUUGCCAUCAUUCAGUUGGGGACUCUAGUGAGACUGCCUACGCAAGUAGAGAGGAAGGUGGGGAUGACGUCAAAUCAUCACGGCCCUUACGCCUUGGGCCACACACGUAAUACAAUGGCCGGUACAGAGGGCAGCUACUAUGCGAAUAGAUGCGAAUCUCGAAAGCCGG